rnacentral:rRNA from 1 species
AGGACGAACGCUGGCGGCGUGCUUAACACAUGCAAGUCGAGCGGUGAUCCUCCUUCGGGAGGUGAUCAGCGGCGAACGGGUGAGUAACACGUGGGCAACCUGCCCCUCACACUGGGAGUAACCUCGGGAAACCGGGGCUAAUACCGGAUACGACCUCGAGCGGCAUCUCUUGAGGUGGAAAGCUCCGACGGUGAGGGAUGGGCCCGCGGCCUAUCAGCUUGUUGGUGGGGUAAUGGCCUACCAAGGCGACGACGGGUA